CGGCUUGCAAGUUGCAACAUAUCACUCUAACUAGGCCUGUCAUUGCAUUUGCCGGUAACAAGAUCUGCUAGUUUCUCUCUGCACCCACUGAAACUGACGGCCAAGUAUUGAUGAGAAGCAUACUAGCUACAUACGAGAUCAAGUUUCUCGAGGGAAUUCAUCCCUUUCAACUAGCUAGUAUAUAGGUAUAUAAAUUGCAACACCAAUUCUAUAUUCAGUACGACUCUUUGUGCUCAACUUCAUGGGAACGAGCUCAAAGAGAAGCGCGCUCUGCUUUUUUUUUUUAAGCUCCAGUUCUGAUCCCACAAUAAUAAAAUCGAAAUCAUUAUCCUAUAUGGAACUGUGUCCCCAUUCACCUUAAUCUAAAAAAACUCUCCAUUCUCGUCAUUCUAAAAGAUCAACAAGUACUUCAUUUGUACAUAAAACUCAUUCUAAAAACUUUCCAUUCUCCUCACUCUAAAAGAUUGACAAGCUAGUACUCCAUUUGUAACAUAAAACUUAUUCUAAAAAACUUCCCAUUCACCUCACUCUAAAAAACUCUCCAUUCUCCUCGUUCUAAAAAAUCAACAAGUACUUCAUUUGUAACAUAAAACUCAUUCUAAGAAAAUCUCCAUUCUCCUUACUCUAAUAAAGCAACAAGUACUCCAUUUGUAACAUAAAACUAGCUCGUUCAAAAAAAAAUUAGAAUACUAUGAUCAGAGGAUGGAGGAUGAAGUUGCUAACCGGUCUAGUGAAGAACCUGGUCGAGUGAAGAAAAAUGAAGCCCGAGCAAAUGGUUGAGCUUGCUCAGGGAGAAAGCUAAGGAAGCAGCUCAUUUAUAGAGCAAAUGGUCGACAUUAGUACCAGCUAAGGUUCAACCGGUACCAAAUGGUUUCAAUUAGUACCGGUUGAUGCUACCAACCGGUACUAAAUGGAAUUCUCACCAUUUAGUACCGGCUGGCUUCCUGGGGAAUCUAGCUGUCGGCCACGCAGUCGACGUGCCGCCAUUUAGUACUAGCUGAGGCUUCAAACCAGUACUACAGGGGCUCUGGUGGCACUGUGUGUGACAAACGGUACUAACACAGUGCAUUAGUACCGGAUGAAAAAACGUCCGGUACUAACGUGUUGGACGAAUGCUUAGUUUUCCAGUAGUAUACAUACGAGAUCAAGUAUCUUGAGGGAAUUCAUCCCUUUCAACUAGCUAGUAUAUAGGUAUAUAAAUUGCAACACCAAUUCUAUAUUCAGUACGACUCUUUGUGCUCAACUUCAUGGGAACGAGCUCAAGAGAAGCACGCUCUGUUUUUUUUAAGCU
rnacentral:lncRNA from 1 species